rnacentral:siRNA from 1 species
AUGGUCAUAAUCCUGUAGGUAUGC